UCCAGACCACUUGCUCUCCCUCUCUCUGUCCCCAUCACUGAGGGCACAAGCGGAAGAUGGCCCCUACCAGCCAGAAAAACAUUCUCACUAGAAAUCGACCAUGCGGACAUCUUGAUUUUUGGACUUUUAACUUCCAGAACUGAGGGCAAAUGCAUUCCUGUUGUUUAUCACCCAGUCUCUGGUACCUUGUUAAGGUAGCCUGAGCUAAGACAAUGGAAUAUUAUUCUGUCUUACAAUGGAAAGAAAUUCUGACACGCACUACAACAAAGAUGAACCUUGAGGGCAUUCUCCUCAGUGAAACGAGCCAGUCACAGAAGGACAUAUACUGACUGGAUGAUUCUGCCUACAUGGGAUACCUUGAGGAGUCAAAAACUCCUGGAGACAGUGGAGCAAAUAAAUUUAGAAGCCUUCUGUAAUUGUAUUUUUAAUUGCCUGGAUGGUCUUCUAGAAGGGACAGGAACAACAACCUCAGAAUCCACAGGUGUCCCUUCAACAGUGGGUCUUCUUGAGUGGUGUGUGGACCACAUGGGCACCAGUCAAGGACACUCUUCAGGCCUGUGGUAAAGAACUGAUCACCGCCCUAAGGAUGCACGAGACAUUCCCAGGUGCCUGGCCUUCCUCUUUGCUACCAGAACUGGCCUUUUACUUCUGAAUGAUAUGAACCAAGUUAUUUAAACUUUAAAAAAGGGUCUGCACCAACCAAAUCAUAAAGGAAAGCACCCACCUGCAGAGAAGGCAGGCAGGCAUGAUGGUGGUACCUCAGCAAUGACCUCUGCUGUACCUCCAGCCCAGGCGGGGCCCUGUCUGGGGUCUCCUACUUGCAAGGACCACAGUUUGGUCCUCCACCGACUGAACCCUUCCCCAUAGAGCAAGGAGCUCAGUCUUCACUUCUAGGUCAUACUUUGGUUUUCUGGGACCCAAGAAUCCCCUGCCCCAAUGGCCCCAAGCAAUCUUGUAGGGCCUGCCCUUUUGAUGGUGGACCAGGCCCCUCGAGGUGAGAGGUCUGAGGUAGGGACAACAGGAUGUGAGAGGGGAGGCUGGAGGAGAGCUUGGAUGUGCGGGUUGGGUGCUGUGAGCAGAGCCGAGGGCGGGGUGCACAGACGCAUGGGCCAGGGGCUCCACGUACAUUUCCUGGCCCCACAGAAGACUAGGGUGGGUCUACAUGUUUUAUUUUGUUUAUCAUAGUUAAUUGAUGUAUAAUGUUUUAAUAUUUAGACAUGAGGAACAUGAGCCCUACAAGCCCUCUGCAACCUGAUGGGUGGGGAAGGCCGGGGUGAAGAGGAGGACUUCAGAUGGCCUCAUCUCCAGGGCAGUACUUUCCUCCAGUAGCAGGCCAUUAUACCAAUUCAGUGCACUGCAACUUGCAUUUUCAAAAACAAAAUAGAGCAAAAUGGAAAAUGCUGGAAUGCAGCACUCACAUAAGAGAAUUUCAGUAAAAUAUUUGUUUUUUUGAUGUGGUCUGGUCUUGAUGUCAAGCACAUGCCCUCCUAUGGGUCUUGGCCAGGAGGGCUUGACAGAGCAGGGAGGGCACACAGACAGGUGAUAGGUGGAGAGAGACGCAGUCGAUGCACUGUCAGCAGAGCCCAGAGACCACCUGGACGAAGUGGCUCUAACUAGUUCCCACAAUGAGACCUGAAUCCAUGCCCUGCUCUCCACCUCCACCAUGACCAUGAGUGACUCACCUGGAGACCUGAGAAGCCUCCUCCCCAUCUCCUGGUCACCUCCCCUCUGGCCCUCUCCCCUCCACCACCCAUUCUGCUCAUCUGUCCCUCCUUCUCUUAUAACCCCCUGUGGCCUCCUGUCCAAUAUCUAGUCCUGCUGCCACCUGGCUCUGUUCCAAACAAGCCUUGCUCGCUGGCCUCCGCCCCUGGCUUCUCUUCCCAGUGCAAGCACAGCCUCUUCAUUUCUCAUGGCUGCUCCCCUGUCUUCCAGGUCUCAGAUCAGACGUCCUCUUCUCAGAGGAGCCUUCCCAAACCUCUUAGUCCCAGUCCCAGCAGUCCUAGUAGGUAUCCUGCGGACUCACCUGCUCACCCAUCUCCCUACUUUGCCCCAAGAGGGCAGCUGCAGGAGACAAGCUGUCAUUACAGGCACAAGCCUGGCACAGAGCAGGUGCUCAGUAAAUGCUCCUUGGAUGAAUAAAUGAGGUAUCAGAGUGAUCUUCUAACUAGGGGAGUUCAUUCUUUUAAAUGCAUAAAGUCAUCAAUCCUCCCUGAUACAUUAACUCCCCAGGGGCCUGAGGCCAAUGACCUUAGGCAAGUCAUCUGACUUUCCUGAGCUUUGGUUUCCUCCUCCGUGAGAUAAAAAGUUGGCCGUGAGGGCUCCUGAGGCUCUUUCCCAAUUCUGAAAUCCUACAGCUACGUCAGAGUAUCACUACUCCCUGCCCACCCCUCUCUGCCCAUUUCCUGCUCUUCCCACUGGGGAAGGAAGAGAGAAGGAUCUAUUUACCGUGUCUAGGGAAAGAGAUGAAGCUUCCAACCCUACCAAGAAAGGAUGUUUUUUUCUCAUUUUAAAGUGUUCUGCCUUUGUAUUUAUGUUUUAAUGCUGUGGCUUUCUAAUGUUUCAGAACAUAAAAUACAUCCUUGAUCUACUCCGAGGGUCCUAAUGGGGCUUUCCUAAGCGGGACCGUGCAGAUGACCGAAGGGAACAGACGGCCUGCUUGAGGCUGGCGCUGAAGUCACCUUAAAGUCCUACUCACCUGGAAUGCUGAAGAGUGAACGUACAAAGAUUCCUUUUAGUGUCUUCAGUCUAGACUCCGAAUGUCUGAAAAUCUGCGCAUAAUCAUUAACUUUUAUUAGGGACGUAUCGGGCUUUACUGCAGAAAUAACGUAAUUAUUUGCUAGCUCCCCAUCAGCUCUCACUCGUACAGGCAGGAGGACCCAUGUGGAGUGCUGCUAGAUUUCGGACAGAGAUUUUCCUCGAGCACUUUCCAGUUAUUACACCCUGGGAAAGGCCAUAAAAUUGAUAUCCGGCAUCAAAUCACUUUUACAGCUGGAAACAACCGAAGCUACUGUAUUUUCAUUCUAGGACUAUAGCUUGAUCAUGAAACAUCUCAGCAUCCCACUUGCUACUCAUAUUUUCAUUUGUUCUCUCUCUCUCUCUCUCUCUCUCUCUCUUUGGUGGCAAUGACAGCCACCAGAGUCAGGAUUUUAUUUUCUCUACCUUCAGUUGUAGAGGAAUGCUUUCAUGUACUUUGACUAAUAGGACCUUCCCCUUCCUAGCUCCCUUUAUCAGAUUGCCUGCCACACCACGAUCCUUUUCCUGUCCACGACAUCCAAAUCCAUGUGAUGUGUCUCAGGGGAGGCAGAAGUUAGUCACCAACACCCACUUUUACUAAUAGGCUGUCCCCAACUCUCUUAAAGAGCUGAGCCAGGGAAUCUGUAUUAACUAGAACACCAGGGAGGGGCUCACUGCCGCUGCAGAGUGAAUAGUCACAGGAUGAACACAGGGUCACUGAAAAUUUUGCUUUUUGGGAAAUGGAAACUUUCGUUUUUUCAGAGUUUUAGCGAGAUACAACUCACAAGCCAUAUAGUUUACGCACUUGAAGUUCACAACUCUACGGUUUUGAGUGUAUUCACAGACUUGUGCAAUCAUUUUCACAAUCAAUUUUAGAACAUUUUUGUCACCCCAAUGAGAAACCUGCACCAAUUACCCACCAUCCCCUCCAGAUCUCCCCUUCCUGCCAGCCUCUUGCAACCAAGAAUCUGCCUUUUGUUUGUCUCCAUGGAUUUGCUUAUUCUGCACAUUUUGUAUAAAUGGAAUCCUACAAUAUGUGGCCCUUUGUGUCUAGCUAAUUUCAUUUUGCCUACUGUUUCCAGGUGCAUCCCCACUGUGGCAGGUGGCAGUGUUUCAUUCCUUUUAUUGCCACAUAAUAGUCCAUUGUGUGGACACACCACUUUAUCCAUUUAUGAAUUGACAAGUUAUGGAAUUUUACGGCUGGAAGGGACAUGGCAGGUCCUCCAAUGCAACCCUCAAUUUUACAAAGGAGGUAGGAGGCACAGAGAUGGGCAGGUGACUUGUCCUAAAUGAUACAGCCAGACUGGGAAACUUGACACUAGAGCUUUGGUUUUGUAAAUCAUGAAAUAUUUCAUGCAUACUGAAAAGCAUAGGAAAAACAUGUAGUGAAUUUUCGGUUCACAGCUUUCACCUAUUUCCUUUUUGGGCCCCCAUUUAUUUAAUUCCUUGUAGGGGUUCUUAAUAAAUCCUAAAUGUGAAUCAUCUGUUGUUUAAAAUCUCUACCUAUAUCUUUUCCCAGUCUCUGUCUUGUAUUGUCCUUUUGUUUCUGGUGUUGUUGAUGUUUGGUGGACAGAAGUUUCUAAUUUUAAUGAAUUGUCUGCCUUAUUAUCUAUGAUUUGUACUUUCUGAGUCUUGGUUAAGAAAUCUUUUGUUAGUAUUCUCCUAACUUUCCCUUAAUUUUUUCAAAUUUUGCUUUUCAUGCUUAAUUCCCCUGGAAUGUACUUUUGUGUCUGGUGUGAAGUAAAUUAAUUUUUUUCUAGAAACGCAACCUGAUCUUCAGCACCAAUUACCACUCCAGUCUUUUACCACUUAUCUGUUGUGGGGAGGAAAAACAUUUUUCCUUCUACCUUUCUAGGUUCUUGGUGGGGGCUCUGUGCCAAAGAUAGGUUAACAAAAAGCAUACAAAUUUACUUAACAUAAGUUCUUCUGGGCACCUGGGUGGCCUUUGGCUUGGGUCACAGUCCCAGGGGCCUGGGAUGGAACCCUGCAUUGGGCUCCCAGCUCAGUGGGGAGUCUGCUUCUCCCUCUUCCUCUGCUUCUCCCCCUGUUUGUGUUCUCUGAAUAAAUAAAAUCUUAAAAAAAAAAAAAUUCUCCAUGACCCAGGAGCUUUCACAAGGAAAUGGAGACCUGAAGGAUAGUUAAAUGUGAGUGUUUUUUUACUGGGUUUAACGAAGAGUGAAAAGUCAUGGGAAAAUGUGAUAGAACAAUGGUGUAGGAGUCAAGAGGAGUAGACUGCGGGAAAUUUAGCAAGAUCUAUUCAUUCAGAUUUCUCUUGGCAUUCUCUUUGGAGAUAAGGAUGCUCCUUUUCUCUGGGUGUAGAGAGGGCACCUGUCCUCUGAGGGUCUAUGAUCUACUUCAAGGGAAGGAGAUCAUUUCUCAAAUUCCUUCCAUUUAGAUUAUUCAGUAUACCAAGGUGCCAUAUUUGGAGGGAGCAUGUGUUAAAUCCUAUCACAACAGUGCCACAUCUAUCACAUAAAGAAUAUCUGUAUAUCUAUAGGUUUAAUUUUGGGCUCUGUUCCUUUAGUCUGUUGGUCUAUUUUUGUCCCAAUACCACAUGUCUCAAUUCCUGUAAGUUUAUAAUAAGUCCUAAUAUUUAGAAGGGCAAGGCCCACAACCUCUCACCUUGCCCUCUUCCUUCAAAAUAGUCUUAAAUCUUUGUCUUGUUUGCUUUUGCAUCUAAACUCCAAGAUAAGCUUGUCAAUUUCAUCAAAAUUCCUUUUGGGGCUUUGACUGGUAUUGCAUUGAAUUGAUAUAUUUAUAUGGAUUUUACUUACAUCUUUAUGAGAUAUUGAGUAUCUCUAUCCAUGAAGAUGGUAUAUAGCUCUCCUCCUUUUUAAUGUGUUUCUUUUUUUUUUUUAAGAUUUUAUUUAUUUAUUCAUGAGAGACACACAGAGAGGUAGAGACACAGGGAGAAGGAGAAGCAGGCUCCAUGCAGGGGUCCCAAUGCGGGACUCAAUCCCAGGACUCCAAGAUCACACCCUGAGCCUGAGCCAAAGGCAGACACUCAACUACUGAGUCACUCAGGCAUCCCUAAUGUGUUUCAAUACAUACAUUUUAAACAAUUUUGUAAAUUGUGUAAUUUAUGUUGUAAAUUUUAUAAUUGUAGUUUCACAAUUUUCUUUAUAGAAAUCAUACACAUAUUUUGUUAUACUUAUUCCUUGGUUAUAAAAUUUUUCUUGCUCUUAUAAAUUGUAGUUUAAAAUUGCACUGUUGCCAGUAUAUAAGAAUACAUUGAGUUUUAAAUAUCAGCCUAAAAUUCAGCAGCCAAGAUAAACUCUUAGUUUAAAAAAAUGUACUAGUUCAAAUAUUUUCAUGAAUUUUUAUGCAGAUGAUCACAUUAUUUGUGACUUAUGACAGUUUUGUUUUCUCCUUUCUACCUUACACCUUUUAUUAAUUUUUCUGUUCCUAAUGCACAGGUUAGAACCUAAAUCCUUUGUGUGGUUGAAUGGAAGCACACACAGUGGGCAUUGCUGUCUCAUGCCUGACAUUAAAGGAAGGUUUCUCAUUUAAUCUCUAAAUGUGAUAUUUGCUGUAGGUUUUUGGCAAAUGUCCUCCAAUGAGUUACAGAAGAUCCCUUCUAUUUCUAAUGAGUUAUGGAUCUUUCUUUACUCUGGUUUUAAAAACAGUAUUUAUUAAUUAAUAUUUAUAGAAAUAAGAUAUGCUCACAGAAAGAGAAAUCAAAUAGGAGGAAAGUAGAAAUGCACCUUCCUAACCCCAGGCUUUCUUUUCAGACAAAACCACUGUUCAUCAGAUGAUGAACAUGUAUGGUUUCACUCAUACGUGGAAUAUGAGAAAUAGUGAAAGGGAUUAUAAGGGAAAGGAGGGGAAGCAGAGAGAGAAAAAUUAGAGAGGGAGACAAACCAUGAGAGACUUCUAACUCUGGGAAACAAACAAACAAAGGGUAAUGGAAAGGGAGAUAGGUGGGGGGAUGGGGUAACUGGGUGAUGGGCACUGAGAAGGGCACUUGAUGGGAUGAGCACUGGGUGUUAUACUCUAUGUUGGCAAAUUGAAUUUUAGUAAAAAAAAUAUAAAAAAAUAAUUCAAGUGCUAUUUGGAUACUAACAUUUUGACCAGAAAACAUAUUUAUAUUCAUGAAUAAAAAAUGAAAUAAUAGGCAAAAACUUCCUUAACAUUACUGAUGCUUUAAAAAAAAAGAUUUUAUUUAUUUAUUUGACAGAGAGAAAGAGUAUGAUCAUUGGGGAGGAGUAAGGGGAGAGGGAGAAGCAGUCUCCCCACUGAGCAGGGAGCCUGAUGUGAGGUUCAAUCCUAGGACUCUGGGAUCAUGACCUGAGCCAAAGAUGGACACUUAACUGAGCCACCCAGGUGUCCCUAUUGGUUAAUUCUUACUGAAAAUUUGCUUUCCAUCAUGAAACUUUUAUAACUAUCUUAAGUUCAUAUUAAUUUUCUAUACGGACACUAAACAUGCUUGUCACAUGUCACCAUCUAUUGUAAACUAAAUUAGAAUUAUUUUAUUUAAUUUUCACAUAAAAUUAUAGUCCUUUUUCCAAAAUAUUACAAUAUUAAAAUAACAAAAAAGCCCACCGUUAACAUUCUGUCUUUCCUUCUAAAGAUUUUCAAUAUGCAUAUUAGCACAUAUUUGUAUACCCCUGUUCUUACACACAGAUAUCACACUGUACUCCUGUUCUGUAAUUGGAUUUUUUUCAAAUAAAGCAUUUUAGACAUUACUUUA